rnacentral:rRNA from 1 species
UACGUAGGGUCCGAGCGUUGUCCGGAAUUAUUGGGCGUAAAGGGCUCGUAGGCGGUUUGUCACGUCGGGAGUGAAAACUCAGGGCUCAACCCUGAGCGUGCUUCCGAUACGGGCAGACUAGAGGUAUGCAGGGGAGAACGGAAUUCCUGGUGUAGCGGUGGAAUGCGCAGAUAUCAGGAGGAACACCGGUGGCGAAGGCGGUUCUCUGGGCAUUACCUGACGCUGAGGAGCGAAAGCAUGGGGGAGCGAACAGG